rnacentral:lncRNA from 1 species
CAUUCACGCCAAUGCUACCAGUAGCCCGUAGCCCAGUGCAGCAAUUACUCUUUAUCCUCCCUCUNNNNNNNNNNNNNNNNNNNNNNNNNNNNNNNNNNNNNNNNNCCCCAGUGACUCCCGAACAACACAGAUACAAAGCCGGCUUCCUCCUUCACCGAGUUCCACUGCUCUUCCUCCACGAAGCAGCUCACGGAGGGUCAGUUUGUCAGGCUGGUUCAGCACAGUCUGGUUCAGUUCGUCAGUGUGGAUCACACAAACGCUUGCGCCAGAAGUGGGGGAAGAAGAGGACAGAUGGUGUGUCCACUUCUUCUGGGGACACCGUGACUCCAUGUGAGUUCAAAGCGUUGGUCAAAGUACACCCUAAAUAUGCCCUGCAUGUGUAGAAAUUAGAAACCAAACACAGAUUCUUCCCACAAAUAAGAACAGUAAUAACAGCCCUAUUAAUUUGUUCAUUUUAGAAUGCUCAGUUGGUAAGACAUGGUCAGUGAAGCUUUUACCAGGCCUUCCAUCCAGGUCUUGUAUGCACAAGCCAAAAAAAAGAUAUUGAAAUAGCUUGAGAAGAGAGCUACAAGACUGUUUACACAAUUGGCAAACCUGCCUCAUCAUGGGAGGCUAAUGAAGCACAAUCAAGGUAUUUCUUCAAGGGAAGGUUUAGAAGAGAGUUGUCUGUGCUCCAGAAGAACCAGUAUGGGGAAGGAAGCGCCCAGAACACGGUUCUUCAAUCUAGCAGAUGAAGCAGGGAAGACUGAGUAGCUGAGAACAACAGAUGGAGAGGUUCAGGUUAAGGAACUGGGUAGAUUUUUUUAGCUAUGCAGCAAAUAAGAAAGAGCCCUCACAUUUCUUGUGAGAGGUUUCCCUGGAUAUUUGGUUUUCUGAGAAACCUGGUGUCUGCUUCUAAGACAUCUUCCUGCCGUAACCCAACCAGAUAGUAGGCAGGGUGCUGGUGACACCAAGGUACCUUCUCUCUGGUGUGAUGUGGUAGAUCCGAGUGUCUAAGAUUCAUGAGCCUGCAAGACACAUGCCAAAGUUGUCACAUGGUGGAAAGCCACCGCUCAGGUCCCACAGAGUUCAGAAAGCCAGUGAAAGAUUUCCAGGGCAGAAAAUACCAGCCUUUCCCCAGGUGCCCUGUUGUUUGAUAGGGCUGGGCUGAGGCUGCAGCUGGUUCCACCGCGAUCUGGGAGAGCUGCCAUCAGCCAUCCUUCCAUGUGGUCAUGCUGCCAGCUGCCCUGCGCCAGCACAGCCCUGUUUGCCAGCUGCAUGAGACUGCCCUGACAUGGAGGGGAGCAGGACAGUGUUUCAAUGACAUGGUACUUCCCCUGGUCAUUUUGGAUGAGAGGGCUGCACCGUCAGCUCUGAGGGCAGUAAAAGUUGUCUCACUGCAGC